CGAAUAGACUACCGGGUAGUCCACGCCGUAAACGAUGGAUACUAGCUGUUCGUCCGCCUCGGCGGAUGAGUGGCUAAGCGAAAGUGAUAAGUAUCCCACCUGGGGAGUACGAACGCAAGUUUGAAACUCAAAGGAAUUGACGGGGGCCCGCACAAGCGGUGGAGCAUGUGGUUUAAUUCGAUGAUACGCGAGGAACCUUACCAAGGCUUAAAUGUAGAUUGACAGGACUGGAAACAGUUUUUUCUUCGGACAAUUUACAAGGUGCUGCAUGGUUGUCGUCAGCUCGUGCCGUGAGGUGUCAGGUUAAGUCCUAUAACGAGCGCAACCCCUGUUGUUAGUUGCCAGCGAGUCAAGUCGGGAACUCUAACAAGACUGCCAGUGUAAACUGUGAGGAAGGUGGGGAUGACGUCAAAUCAUCACGGCCCUUACGCCUUGGGCUACACACGUGCUACAAUGGCCGGUACAGAGAGCAGCCACUGCGCGAGCAGGAGCGAAUCUAUAAAACCGGUCACAGUUCGGAUCGGAGUCUGC
rnacentral:rRNA from 1 species